CCGGAAACAAAGUAACGUAAAGAGACGGGGUGGGGUGUGGUGGGGCCUGCCCCUGCCGGAAGAAGUUUGGGUGGAGCCCAGUAUUCAAGCUUCAGGACAAAGGGGGAGGAGAGGCCGCCACUAGCAAACAACCUCACUUCAUAAACCCAGCAGAAGGGUCCUGGGUGUUGUUGGAAAGGUCUGGGGUAUUGCUGGAAAGGUCAGAAGGAACAUGAUUCUGUCCGCCCGCCUAAGUGGGACGAACAACCAAGAGGUGCGAUGCGGCUUUAAAGGGGCUGAUGAUUGACAGAAUGUGUAGCAGUGGAUGGGGUGGAGUCGCUGGGUGGGGUCGGGACUGGCAGCUGAGAGAGACCAAAAAGGAGGAAAAAGGAAAAUCAUUGCCCUUGAUAUCGCUAAUGCCGGGUGAGGGAAGCUAACCAGAAAGGAGGGAAAAGGAAGGUUUUAGAGCUCACCUCCACUCCUUCCUCUGGCUAACUCUUCACCCUCUUCUGUCUUCCCUCGAGAUAAUUAAAAUAGACUGUACCCCGGCCUUAGUCGGUGCCCAUUCCCCCUAAGUCUUCAUUCAACUACGUUUGUAGUCCGAGGGAGUGAGGACCCCGGGUCCACCCGCUUAACCCCGGCCCCGCCCCGUCGGCCCUUGCCCCGGGGCUGGGAGGAGAGGAUGCCUUCGGAGGCGCAGAAUCCGAAACCAUUUCAGCCUGGAUAACAAUCAUUGUUGGGGAACUACUGAGGUCAUUUAGAGGUAAGAAGAUACUCUGGUUCUUUGAGUUGCUAUAGUUCAUGUGCUGGUUCUUUUUUAUUUGUGUGAGCUGAUAUUCCUUAAAUCUUUAGUUGCUGUACUUUGGUUGAGGUUUUUUGUUUGUUUUUGCUUUUAUCUUUUUUGAUGCUCUUGGGUGUUUGAUUGUGGUAUAAGGUGGGUUCAGUCGAUUGGCUCCAUUUCUGGAAGAUUUUAGAAGGCCAUGUCCAGCUCAGCACCCCUGGGCUUCAUGCUUUAACUCUGGGGUCUGUUGUCAGCCCCCCAGCUUUGUUCCCUAGCCCCUCAAGGUUAGGAACCUUCUUCACUGUAGGUUACAAGGUGUUCCUGAAUCAUUGGUUACAGUUCAUUGUUGGGGUGGUGGCAGUGGGAUUUAUGCUCAUUUGUAUGUGCCAGGAGCAGUGGCUGUGCAGCAGGGUACACAUGCAUUGGCUGGGGUGGCAUACCAGUGACAGCAAGGCUGCUGCAUUUAAGUGCAUGCCGUAGCCAGCAGUGGUGUUGGUGAAGGCAUGGCACUGGUGGGUGUGGGGUUGCUGAUCUCCAUGUGCAUGUUUGGAGCAGCAAUAUUGGCAGCACCAGGGGUGUCGUUUUCAGCCUUCAUGCAUAUGUUCACAUUGGCAUUGGUGGCUGCAUGGGUGAGGCUUGGUUUCCAACGUUUGUGUGCAUGUUUUCACCAGCAAUGGCAGCACAACUGGGUUCGCGGAGUGUGUUCAAACCUGCUGGAUAGGCAUGGUGGGGUGUGUGCAUGCAGAGGAGAGGAGGUGAGGUUUAUCUGCAUUCACAUCCAUUGGCAAAGCAGUUGGUGGGUGGCUGUGGAUGAUAGUGUGCUGGAAGUGUAGUGCCGCUGAGGCUGCAGUGGUGGAGAGCAUGUAGGUGGCUGGUGUGUGGUGGUGGAGGACACUGUGGUGGAGCUCUGCCGUGGUCAGUUAUGGUCUGCCAGUUAAGGAGCUAUAAUUAAGGCCUUUUGGAAGCACCCUGAUUGGGCAUCUGAGGCUGCACUACAGGCAGGCAUGGCCAAGCUUAGACACUGGGGGAGGCCAACAGACAGGGGUACUCAGGUUACACUGGCUCCAUCUUACAUACAAGACUCUCCAGCUCUUUCCAGCUUCGACAGUCCCCUUAAGGCUAAAGUCUCCUAGAGAAACAUAGCGACCUUUGGAACUUAUACAUCCCUGGCCAUGCUCCACUGCAGGUAUUUCCAAACCAGGCCCUCUGGACUCUCCACAGCCUGGAGUCCUACUCCUACCAUCUAUCUCAAUUGCUUUUCCUGCCAGCUGAAGUGUCCAUGGGGGUUCUGAGGUUGCCUGAUGCCAGGAUUCCAGAGGUCCAUGGUGAAAAUACGCUGCUCCUCACCUGUUCAACUCACCCCUUCCUCAGGAGUUGCUGCAGUCCAGGAACAAGUUCCAGUGCAUGGCAGCUCCGAACAUGGUUUCCAGCUUCUUUCCCCUUCAGCCCAGCAUCUUUGUCCUUGCUACAUCCUUUCUCAAGGCCUUAGCUCUGAAGAUCUGCUCAGAGUGUACCAGUCUUUCUGAUGUCUGUUUCUCAAUGGCAGAUGUACCUCCUGGCUGCAUCUAGUCUCCCAUCUUGAAUCCAGAAUCUCAUUGUGGUUUUGAUUUAUAUUUCUGUAAUGAUUAUUGGUGUCAAUAAUUUUUUAUAUGUUGGACAUUUGUGCGUCUUCUUUUGAACAACGUUUAUUCAGAAUAUUUAUUUGCCCAUUUUUUAAUCAGAUGAUUUAUAUUUUUGCAUUGAGGUUUUUGGUAUCUUUGUAUAUUCCAGAUGUUAGUCACUUGGUGGAUUCAUAGUUUGCAAAUAUUUUCUUCCAUUGUACAGGUUGUCUCUUCAGUCUGUUGAUUGUGGCAUGUAGGCUGGGCCUGUUGUUAGGCUUUCUUAUUGUGCACAUGUGUACCAGUGGAAACAGGCAGACUGGUUGGUUCCCAGGCCCUCAGAUAACAGAUAGUGUGCUUGGGUGUCAGUGUCAGUGGGCAGGGUGGGCCUAUUCUCAGCCCCCUGGACUGUGCCCAGGCAAGCUGGUCCCAGAAUUCCUGAAUGUACAUGUAGACAAAGGGCUUUCUUGCUGCUAGUGGUCAAUGGGGUUGCCAUCAGUGGUAGCAGCCCUAGGCAGGUGGCUCUUAGGAUCUGGGUAAUACAUACUUUAGCUCUCUAUGAUCCAGAGGCAGCUGCCCCAGUACACUACUAGAAUUCUGAGUAUCUGGCUGCAUUUCUGGGUCCAGCCAGUGUCAUAAUGUUGCAGCCCUCUGAGUGGACAUGAGGGGAUGUCUGCAGGGCUUUUAGGAUAUGGAGAUGGAGCAUCAGUUGGGCCCCAGAGCAGGGUGUAGUCUGGUGGGAGUUGUGCUCUCAAAAUGGUGCUGUGAAGCAGCUACUUGGGUCCCAGAUUUUAUGUGGGACCCAGCACACAUUCCUCUGGAAUAAUGCCAAGGUGUGGACUUUAAGUAACUCCCUAUACUAAGUCUCAGGGCCUGUAAGGGCUGAGGCUCUCUCUGUGGCUAAGAUUACAGGGGUCUGUGGUGGGAGCCUGAACCACAGGGGAUCUCUUGCUUUUCUUCCACGUUGGAGAGUUCUUUUUUGCUCUGUAUUAUUUUGCUUCCCUCUCCUUUCAUGCCUUAGAGGUUUCCUGUCACUGCUCUGAUAAAUUCCAGGAUAUUCUCUUAAACUCUGCAUUUGACAUGUGAUUAUCUACUUGCUGUUUUUGUACUUCUCUGUGGAUGAGUUAGGUGCUGGGUGCCUCUAGUAAACCAUCUUUGAAAAAAAUGUUUUUAAAUACGUAAAAUACAAUGCAUUCGACUAAAAAAGGAACCAAUUUUUUUGAAAUAUAUUUACCAAAUCAUUUUAAAGUUUGUGAUAGAAUAAUGUGAUUCUUAGCUAAUGGAUGCUGGGCUUAAUACCUAGGUGACGGGAUGAUCUGUGCAGCAAACCAUCAUGGCAAAUGUUUACCUGUGUAACAAACCUGCACAUGUAAUGCUGAACUUGAAAUAAAAGUUGGAGGAAAAAAAACGUGAUUUUUUAAAUUAAGUUCAUUCAAUAGCAAGAUAUUUCAGUGAGUCUAGUAGUUACUAUAAUCUAAAAUUACUAAUGAGCAUAAGCACUAUUUUGAGAUUGCUCUAAUAACUAAUAUGUUAUGCAAAUAACUGGAAUUUUUAUUAGUGCAAAGUUAUAUAUAUAUAUAUACAUAUAUAUAUAUACACACACAUAUAUGUACACACACAUAGAUAUGUACACUAAUACAAUUGUAGUAUUUUGCCUACAUGCAUGCUGAAAAGAGAUGCUAAAUUUCAAGUAGUCUAAAUAAAAAUCGGGGGAGUUGGCCAAGAUGGCCCACUAGAAAGAGCUGUGGUUGGAGCCUCCCCCUGAGAAGAAUGAAAACAGUCAGUGAAUUCUGCACCAACAACUGAAGUAUUCAGGUUCUCUUGUUGGGACUGAGUAGGCAGUUGGCAUGACCCAUGGAGAGUGAGGAAAAGCAGAGUGUACUGAUGGCCCACCCAGGAGCCACAUGGGGCAAGGGGAGCUCCCACCCCCAGCCAGGGGAGGCAGUGAACAACUCUACAUGGGAAACCACACUUUUUCCACAGAUCUGUGCAACCCACAGAUCAGGAGAUAUCCUCGUGAGCCCAUGCCACCAGCACCUUGGAUCCCAAGCACAGAGCUCUACAGAUUCUCAGUGGUCACUUGGCUGGAGACUGCCUAAGACUACUGAGUUCCCCGGGGGAGGGAUGACUGCCAUCAUUGCAGUUGCCAGCUGCCCGAAAUGACUGAGCACCUGGGGGGAAGGGCAGCACCAUCACUGAAGCUCCAGUCUGCCAUUUUUUCCUGCUGGCACAGGGAGACUGGGUGGUUUGGAACCAAGAGGAAUUCCCCACACCACAGCACAGUGGCUGUGGCAGAUCGUGGGCAGACUGCCUCUUUAGGCCAGACUCUAAUCCAUUCCAACUCACUUGGCUUGGCUUACCUGCAGAAACUUCAGCAACUCCAGCCAGGGUUUUGCAGACAGAAGUCUGAUCUCCCUGGGACAGGGUUCCUAGAAGGAGUGGCAGCCACAGUCAUCACAGAUUAAUGAACUGAGUCUUUCCCCCUGCUGGGUCUGAAGAAUCUAGGCUGUACCGAGCAGUGGGAUUACACCCAGCACCAAGGGGCUUCUUUAACCAGAGUGCUUCUUUAAGGUGGUCCCUGAUCCCUGCCUCCUGACUGGGUGAGAACUCCCCCAACAGGAGUCUCUAGGCACCUCAUACAGGAGUGUUCCUGCUGAUAUCAUGUCAGUGCCAGUCUGAGACAGAGCUCCCAGAGGAAGGAGCAGGCAGCCAUCUUUUCUAUUGUGCAGCCCUCACUGGUGACACCUCCAGUUGUAGGAGGAACCCAUGUGAAUAAGUUCUGGAGUGGACCCCCAGUAAACUGCAGCCAGCCUAUAGAAGAGUUGUCUGAUUGUUAAAA